AUUGAACGCUGGCGGCAGGCCUAACACAUGCAAGUCGAGCGGAUGAAGGGAGCUUGCUCCUGGAUUCAGCGGCGGACGGGUGAGUAAUGCCUGGGAAUCUGCCUGGUAGUGGGGGAUAACGUCCGGAAACGGGCGCUAAUACCGCAUACGUCCUGAGGGAGAAAGUGGGGGAUCUUCGGACCUCACGCUAUCAGAUGAGCCUAGGUCGGAUUAGCUAGUUGGUGGGGUAAAGGCCUACCGAGGCGACGAUCGGUAACUGGUCUGAGAGGAUGAUCAGGCACAGAGAAACUGAGACGCGGUCCAGAGACCGAGGGAAGGCAGCAGUGGGGAAGAUUGGCAGAUGGGGGAAAGCUUGAACCAGGCACGCAGCGUGGGUGAAGAAGGGCUGCGGAUGGGAAAGCACUUUAAGUGGGGAGGAAGGGUAGUAAGUUAAAACCAUGCUGUGUGGAGGUAACCAACAGAAUAAGAACCGGUUAAUAUCGU
rnacentral:rRNA from 1 species